GAUGAACGCUAGCUACAGGCUUAACACAUGCAAGUCGAGGGGUAACGAGAGGGAAGCUUGCUUUCCUUGUCGACGACCGGCGCACGGGUGAGUAACGCGUAUCCAACCUGCCCCCAACUAGGGAAUAACCUUGCGAAAGUAAGACUAAUACCCUAUAAUUUCCUCAGAUGUCAUCUGACGAGGAAUAAAGAUUUAUCGGUUGUGGAUGGGGAUGCGUCUGAUUAGCGUGUUGGCGGGGUAACGGCCCACCAAGGCAACGAUCAGUAGGGGUUCUGAGAGGAAGGUCCCCCACAUUGGAACUGAGGCACGGUCCAAACUCCUACGGGAGGCAGCAGUGAGGAAUACUGGUCAAUGGGCGGAAGCCUGAACCAGCCAAGUAGCGUGCAGGAUGACGGCCCUAUGGGUUGUAAACUGCUUUUAUACAGGAAUAAAGUUAGCCACGUGUGGUUAUUUGUAGGUACUGUAUGAAUAAGGACCGGCUAAUUCCGUGCCAGCCGCCGCUGUAA
rnacentral:rRNA from 1 species